rnacentral:rRNA from 1 species
CAAUAGCGUAUAUUUAAGUUGUUGCAGUUAAAAAGCUCGUAGUUGGAUUUCGGAUGGGACUUGCCGGUCCGUCGUUUCGAUGUGCACUGGCCAGUCCUAUCUUGUUGUCGGGGACUAGCUCCUGGGCUUCACUGUCCGGGACUAGGAGCUGACGAGGUUACUUUGAGUAAAUUAGAGUGUUCAAAGCAAGCCUACGCUCUGAAUACAUUAGCAUGGAAUAACACGAUAGGACUCUGGCUUAUCUUGUUGGUCUGUGAGACCAGAGUAAUGAUUAAGAGGGACAGUCGGGGGCAUUCGUAUUUCAUUGUCAGAGGUGAAAUUCUUGGAUUUAUGAAAGCCGAACUUCUGCGAAAGCAUUUGUCAAGGAUGUUUUCAUUAA